rnacentral:lncRNA from 1 species
UAAUAUUGAAUUAUGAUUUAUGUUUGUUUACAAGGUUUUCAAGAUUGACCCUAGUAUGUGAAAUUCAUGAUAAACCCUCUUCAAGUUGCUUGUUAAGGGACCUGUUCAUGUUAAUUAGGUGUAGAAAUUGUUGAAUAAGCAAAGCAUGCUCCCCAUAUGUUUGAUAAAAAGCUUAUGUAAAGGAAUUAGAGAAAUUCUAGCAUG